rnacentral:rRNA from 1 species
UACAGAGGGUGCAAGCGUUAAUCGGAAUUACUGGGCGUAAAGCGCGCGUAGGUUGUGAUAUAAGUUGGAUGUGAAAGCCCUGGGCUCAACCUGGGAAUUGCAUUCAAUACUGUAUUGCUAGAGUACAGUAGAGGAAAGGGGAAUUUCAGGUGUAGCGGUGAAAUGCGUAGAUAUCUGAAGGAACACCAGUGGCGAAGGCGCCUUUCUGGACUGAUACUGACACUGAGGCGCGAAAGCGUGGGUAGCGAACAGG